rnacentral:tRNA from 1 species
GAGGGGAGGUUUAACCAACAACAACUGCUAAUUCUUGCAUCUGAGUCUAAAACCUCAGCCCCCUUC